rnacentral:rRNA from 1 species
UGGGGAAUAUUGCACAAUGGAGGGAACUCUGAUGCAGCGACGCCGCGUGAACGAAGAAGGCUUUCGAGUCGUAAAGUUCUUUUAUAUGGGAAGAUAAUGACGGUACCAUAAGAAGAAGCCCCGGCUAACUACGUGCCAGCAGCCGCGGUAAUACGUAGGGGGCUAGCGUUGUCCGGAAUCACUGGGCGUAAAGGGUUCGCAGGCGGAAAUGCAAGUCAGGUGUAAAAGGCAGUAGCUUAACUACUGUAAGCAUUUGAAACUGCAUAUCUUGAGAAGAGUAGAGGUAAGUGGAAUUUUUAGUGUAGCGGUGAAAUGCGUAGAUAUUAAAAAGAAUACCAGUGGCGAAGGCGACUUACUGGGCUCAUUCUGACGCUGAGGAACGAAAGCGUGGGUAGCAAACAGG